rnacentral:rRNA from 1 species
CAGAGACUGCAAGCGUUAUUCGGAUUCACUGGGCGUAAAGGGUGCGCAGGCGGUUGGGUGUGUCAGAUGUGAAAUCCCGAGGCUUAACCUCGGAACUGCGUCUGAAACUACUCGACUAGAGUACUGGAGAGGGAAACGGAAUUCACGGUGUAGCAGUGAAAUGCGUAGAUAUCGUGAGGAACACCAGAGGCGAAGGCGGUUUCCUGGACAGUUACUGACGCUCAGGCACGAAAGCAUGGGGAGCAAAAGGGAUUAGAUACCCCUGUAGUCCAUGCCCUAAACGGUGCACACUAGGUCUUAGCGGAUUCGACCCCACUAGGGCCCAAGCUAACGCGUUAAGUGUGCCGCCUGAGGACUACGGUCGCAAGCUA